rnacentral:rRNA from 1 species
UACGGGGGGUGCAAGCGUUGUUCGGAUUUACUGGGCGUAAAGGGCGCGUAGGCGGCGCAACAAGUCACUUGUGAAAUCUCCGGGCUUAACUCGGAAAGGUCAAGUGAUACUGUUGUGCUAGAGUGCGGAAGGGGCAACUGGAAUUCUCGGUGUAGCGGUGAAAUGCGUAGAUAUCGAGAGGAACACCUGCGGCGAAGGCGGGUUGCUGGGCCGACACUGACGCUGAUGCGCGAAAGCCAGGGGAGCGAGCGGG